rnacentral:lncRNA from 1 species
AAAAUGCAGGUUUUCAUGAGUUCUGCAGUGAACUUUCUACCGUCUUCUAGCUGUAAUAUAUUCAAACUAGUCACAAGAAACGUGAGGAUGCUCAUUCUCAUUGAGUUGGUGAUGAAAUGAUUCAUGAACUUGAAUUUGGGGCUCAUCAAACUUUUGCUGCUUCAGCAGGAACGCCGGCCCUCUCAGCAAUGAUCUGUUCAUAGAGAUCUCUAAUCUUCAGUCCUACGAUAGUUUGGAAGAGACCUGUUCCAUUGUUGCUGCCUGGGAAGUCUGCAUGCUUUAGCAUUUGCUGUGUCACCUCCCCGUAGAACUUGGUUGAGAGGUUGCUUAGGUGGCUCUCAACAUAGAUGAGUUCAUCUAGUCUGUCAAAUUGCCCAUCCAUCUCCAGCACCGAUACCUGAAGUAAACAAACAAACACUAAGAUUGUACAGCAUUGUCUAAGGCAGGACCUGGUUGACAGCUAGAAUUGUUCUACUCGGUGAAUAGUUGAUCUCUAGUCCAAGAAUGGUUUUGGAGCCCUCUCUUUUUUGUCCUACUUUGUCCUACUUGCUAGGUUUCUUUAGAUUUAUUAUCCAAGUAACAGCAGUUAACAUUACUCGUUGGACACAAAAGGGCAAAUAAACCAAGAUGAGUACCUCUUGGCCGAAGUAAGUGUCUGGGCCAUAGGAAAAUUUGAUGCCAGGGUAAGAGCAUGUAAGCUUUCUUCCACAAGGGAUCCAGUUGAUGGUUGAUCCUUCAUCGAAGAGGUAAACCGGGUUGAAGAACUUAACGCCUUCUUUCAUGAUCAAUUUAAC